UGGUUCCUGCGGGCACGGUUGAAACCUCGUCGCAGCGCGUGCCGCUGCGCGUCACCGGCGCCUAUGACAGCGUUAAGGCGGUGGCCGAAACUCCCGUCGAAGGCAAUGGCCGCGUGUUCCGUCUUGGCGACAUCGCCAUGGUCACGCACGGUUUCGUCGAUCCGCCGAGCUAUCAGGUACGCCAGGAGGGCAAAACGGCGAU
rnacentral:misc_RNA from 1 species